UUGCUCCUGCACUUUGACCAUUUCCUGGUGUCUGCUGUUGAGCUGGACAAUGGAAGAACUGAAAGUCUAUACUCAAUGCUGCAGCCCUCUUGCGGGGGGAGGGGGGCGCUUCUAGAAAGUUCCCAUGGCAGUGGCCUCCCCUCCAUAUCUCCCACCUCUCAUGAGGGUCAGUUCAGCCUUGACCCGUGAGGUCUCUGUCCUCCUGGCUCAGAGCCGCAGAGCCUUCUUUGGACGCCCUCAAGCUGACCAAUAAAGGCCCUGAGACUGCAAUGGCGCUGACACCCAGGUGUGUUGAUUAAUGCCUUGGCUGGAGCUCACGGCCAUGGUUUUCUCCUUUGUGCACAACCCUCUGCUGUCCUUCAGGCCCCUGAGUGUUUUCCUGUGCCCAGGGGCGUGUGGUUCCCAGGGGUCCAGGCUAGACGGACAUGGACGCGGGGAGCCUUGCAGCCCUUUGGCCAUUGGCAAGAACGACAGACAGAGCACGUGUGACCACCAUGAGCCCAGGGCCAGCGGACUGCCCAGAGCAGGAUGGUCUGAGGAGUUUUGGGCAUUUUAAGAAGUCUUUAAAAAUUAUAUUUGGAAUAAUGAUGUGUUGUAACCACUGGAAGAAGUCUGUAAAGGAAUACCCGAGACUGGGCAAUUUAUGAGGAAAGGCCCACGGUUAUCUGGCUCCUGGUUCUACAGGCUGUACAAGAAUGGCACCUGCUGAGCUUCUGCUGAGGUCUCAGGAAGCUUUACUCAUGGUGGAA
rnacentral:lncRNA from 10 species